rnacentral:rRNA from 1 species
GACGAACGCUGGCGGCGUGCUUAACACAUGCAAGUCGAACGAUGAAGCCCUUCGGGGUGGAUUAGUGGCGAACGGGUGAGUAACACGUGGGCGAAUACUGCCCUUCCACUCUGGGACGAAGCCCUCGGAAACGGGGUACGUAAUACCGGAUAUGACACACGGCCGCAUGGUCUGUGUGUGGAAAGCUCCGGCGGUGAAGGAUGAGCCCGCGGCCUAUCAGCUUGUUGGUGGGGUGANGGCCUACCAAGGCGACGACGGGUAGCCGGCCUGAGAGGGCGACCGGCCACACUGGGACUGAGACACGGCCCAGA